UUCAUGUUUCAUGACAAACUCUCUCCUUAAUAAAGGUAAGUGCCAGGUUCAAGUAGAAAAAAAAAGUAUGAUUAUAAAAUGUGUGGUGUGCAACUCACAAGCAAGUGUUGCGGGCAUUGGUUUAAAAAUUUCAUGAAACCUCAAAUUCUCACAGCUGUGCAUUGAUGCAGUAUAUAAAGUGAAAAGCAAGUUGGCCUUUAUAAAUUCAUCUUUAGUUUAAUUAACUUUUCAUUCAUGAAUAUAAAUGUAAUACUACCAAUAGCUUAGUCAGACCCCACUUGGAUUAUGUGGUAAGUUUUGGUCUCCCCAUCAUAUGGACAUUGCUAAACUAGAAGAUGGUCAACAUAAGAGCAACAAAGAUGAUCUUCUUGCACAACAAGCCUUACAAGGACAGGCUUUUAUCUCUCAACAUGUUUUCUCUUGAGAAACAUUGGCUCCGAGGAAAACUGAUCAAAUGUUUCUUAUGAAUGUGCACAAAUCCAAAUAUCAAUGAUCAAUGACAGUGGCACAAAACUUAAGUUUAAACAAAUUAAUUUGGACUGAACCAAAUUCCUCUUCACCAAAGUUAUAGUGCAAGAAUGGAAAAAAAUUCCAUCUUUAGCAGUCCAGUGCAACACAGCUGACUCAUUUAAAGCAAACACAACCACCACCUCCUUCCCUUAAUAUUCAGUAAGGUAAAAAUGCAGUCUUGGUGGCCAAUUGAUGCUGAAAUCUCACAAAGGUUUAAGGACUGACCAUCUAGUCCACACCACAGGGUUUGUGUGGUCUGAAUAUCUAUGUAAAUCUCUCUCUCUCUCUCUCUCUCUCUCCAGCUAGAGCUUUUUUUUUUAACUCAGACUAUAGCACCAGUAGACUUUCUUAGUGAGGCCUGGUGGUUGGCCCCAGCCCAUAAUGGCACAGGAAAGUGUUUUAUAGAGGUGCCAUCCAGCUUGGUUCAUGCUGCCCCACAGCGCUCAUCUUUGAUGCUCUUUAGAGUUUAUCUACAGUCCGGGUUGAUAGGUGGUCUUCAGGACAGCACGUGGGCAGUCUUGGACCACUCGCAAUGAUUGAAAAUUGUCUGCUUACAGAAGUGGGUGGGAUUUGAACCUGAGUCCUCCAGGACAUGUGGCAGAAUGCUGAUCACUCAGGCACCACCACAACAGUGGCCCAGACCUGACCGAGGUCAGACGUGUGUCACGGCACUCCGAAAGGAGCAGCCAGGGGCCAGCCUAUUGGCCUCCCCCCUUCCCCUCCAUCCCCCUCUCCCUUUUCAUCAAAACCCAACACCGUAAGAUACUUUUAUGACAUCAUGGUGACAGACAGUGAAUGCAGUGCGUUUGUGGCGCCGUGAAGACACUGAAGAGUAGAAAUGGCCGGUGUGACGUUGACGCGGCCUUACCAUCCAACCGACGCCCCAGGUGCCCCCAGGUACACCAGCCCGACCAUCAUGGUGCUGGGAGAAUUCGGUUCAGGUGCAGUGCAGUGUUGAGGCCCGUCACUCAGGUGGACUCAUGGUUGGGGCAAUCAGCACAACGCUCAACAUACAAGGCAGUGCAGACUAUAUAGAUGUUCCCACGCCUACUGCCGCGCGGUCUACCUCUUCCUAUCUUGUCACACCGGCUGGAUAGAAUAGCAGGUCAUCGCUAAGCCCAUAAGCUGAGUGACGGCCGACACCGUCUCUACCUGCACCCCUGACCCUUUUUGACCUGGGGUUGACCUUGGGCUUACACCUGUCCCGUCAUCCGAAAAACCACACCGCCUCCUACCGCACCAGCGCACUGCAUUCCACCACCUCACCUCCCCCCCACCACCCGACCCCAUAUCCCUUUCAUAUUGUACAUUUUCCUUUUUUCUUUUUUCUUUUAUUUAUAUUUCAAAAGUGUAUUUGUAACGUGUAUAUUUUCUGCUAUCAUUUAAUAAACCGUUUAUUAUUAUUAUUAUUAUUAUUAGACACAUGGGGCUAAUUAUAUUUCAGAUUGGGAAGCUUCAAAUAAGAUCAACUGUAUACCAAUUAUUAAUUUCUAAUCAUUUGGUAAUGUUUGAAUUUAUUCCUUUUUCAUUCCACUCUACGCAAAACUUGCAAAAAGAGGAAGAAACUGCAGGUCACCCUACAGACGGGGUGGGGUACACUCCCUCUCUUCACUCAGACCAGAACACACACAGCUCUGCAGUAACGUGUUCAGCUUUGUGACAGACAAAAGAAAAAAAAUGAAAAUGCAGAAGGCACACUGAACAUGACAGGACAUCCUUAUAUUCAGCACAAGCAGUAUCCCAAGUCCAAGUUCCACAGGCAGCUGAUUACUUUUCAGCCAUGUAAGUUUAUCUUUUGUUGUGCAACACCAUGCAGUAGUUGUAGAAAUUGCAAAGUUGCAAGCAUGACUUCAAAUAUGCAAUACAUACUAAAGAGCAGUUAUAUGAGCAUAGAGAGACCCACAUGCUGUCUAACAAAAGUAAAAAAGUAAUGUGCAUUCACCUAGUUGUGACUGACUGAUCUGACUGACCCCUACUAUCCAUUCACAGCUGGGUGGACAGAGAGCACAGGUUAAAGGAGACUGUCCAUCUGUCUCCACUCUGGCCAGGAAUCAAACUCAGGAACUCAGUUGUGAGGUAAACCUGCUAACCAUUACACUACAGUGUGCAUACGUGUGCAUGUGUCUGUGUGUGUUUAUAUAUCAUGACUGGAUGGCUUAAAAAUCUGGAAAUAUAAAGUCACACACAAUUUCAUAUAAGAAAAACUGAUCCAUGCGUAUCAAAGGGUCCUAAAUGGGAAGCGAGGUUUACAUAAAAUGUUAUUUUUUGGAUAUUUUUUAGGUUAUAUUUUUCUUGUACUUUAAUCUUGUGUCAAAAUUCUUUAUAUCUUAGGUGAAUGGCUGAGUAGUUUCAGUAUCUUAGCCCUCAAGCAUGUUAGUGACCAGACCAUGCUGAGCCCCACUCACAAGUACAUACACAUUUGUGGUGAAACUUUUCUUCACUCAAACUUAUAUAUUGCUUGAUGAGAUGGUUACUAUCACUCAUGAAGCACCUUUUCUCUAUUUUCCAGACUACCUGUAGAGUCCUCUCUGCAGACACUAAAUUUACCUCCCUGAUGAAACAAUAUGCAUGGAAAAAAUACAAUUUUCAAUCAUGCAAAGAUUUUUCUACUCUGCUAUAGCCACUGACAAAGUGGUAUUUAAAGGAUUAAAGAUUCUAUGAAUAUGUGGAUACUGUAAAUAAUAAGACCUUCAGGUAGCAGUGGUAUUAUGGUUUAGUAUAAUUACCUUUGUACAUCAUAUUUACACACAUAAACAUUGAAGAAACUCAUUGUGAUUAGACCAGCUGACUUGUUGGUUGGUCAGUUCAGCCCUACAUUACAGCAGCAGUAAGUCUACAUGAGGGUAGGUAAUACUACGAGCACCAUGUGCCUUGUAGAUCAGGAGUGGAGACUAUUGUAAUGGCUUAGCAAAGUUGUUCAAGACAUAUACUGCCAUGACACACAGUUAAAUAGUCUAUUUCUUUAAUGACAAGAUGCAAAGUUACUAAAACGGUAGAUACUUCUGCAAACUGACAAUCCAACCAUCACCGGGCUGAUGCUGUUUUGAGUCAGUGAAAUAUGAAUUCAAGAUUUGUAUUCAUUCUUUCCCUGCCCACUCACCCACCUACUACAUCAACACUACUAGAAGUCUCACUAUACCUCCUCCUUUAAUCACUCAAGCACUCUUUGAAGGCCCUAUUUGCUGUUACUUCCCAGAUGAUCAAAUACAAGCUUUAUUGGAGGUUAAUUAACCUGUUGAUCUUUUUACUACUGCUGCUGUUCACAAUGCUAUCACCACUGGCCUGUAGCUGUUCUGAGUCAGCAAAAUACUCAAUAAAAACAUGAGUUCACCAUUACAUUGUUCAGUCACCCACCUGCAUGUCAACAUUACUGAGUUUCAUUAUACCUCCUCCUCCCUUGAGUCACCCAAGCACUGCCUCUACCUUCCUGUGACAAGGGAGCAACGUUUCUUGUAGUAGACUGUCUAAGCCAAUUAUCACAAUUAGCAAUAG